rnacentral:rRNA from 1 species
AACGUAGGAGACAAACGUUAUCCGGAGUUACUGGGCGUAAAGGGCGUGUAGGUGGUUUCGUAAGUCUGGCGUGAAAUUUUUCGGCUUAACCGGGAAAGGUCGUCGGAUACUGCGGAACUAGAGGACGGUAGAGGCGUGUGGAAUUCCUGGUGUAGCGGUGAAAUGCGUAGAUAUCAGGAGGAACACCGGUGGUGUAGACGGCUUUCUGGACCGUAACUGACGCUGAGACACGAAAGCGUGGGUAGCAAACAGG